UCGGGUUGUAAAGCACUUUUGUCCGGAAAGAAAUCCUUGGUCCUAAUAUGGUCGGGGGAUGACGGUACCGGAAGAAUAAGCACCGGCUAACUACGUGCCAGCAGCCGCGGUAAUACGUAGGGUGCGAGCGUUAAUCGGAAUUACUGGGCGUAAAGCGUGCGCAGGCGGUUCGCUAAGACCGAUGUGAAAUCCCCGGGCUUAACCUGGGAACUGCAUUGGUGACUGGCGAGCUAGAGUGUGGCAGAGGGGGGGUAGAAUUCCACGUGUAGCAGUGAAAUGCGUAGAGAUGUGGAGGAAUACCGAUGGCGAAGGCAGCCCCCUGGGCUAACACUGACGCUCAUGCACGAAAGCGUGGGGAGCAAACAGGAUUAGAUACCCUGGUAGUCCACGCCCUAAACGAUGUCAACUAGUUGUUGGGGAUUCAUUUCCUUAGUAACGUAGCUAACGCGUGAAGUUGACCGCCUGGGGAGUACGGUCGCAAGAUUAAAACUCAAAGGAAUUGACGGGGACCCGCACAAGCGGUGGAUGAUGUGGAUUAAUUCGAUGCAACGCGAAAAACCUUACCUACCCUUGACAUGGACGGAACUCCGCUG
rnacentral:rRNA from 1 species